AACGCGAAGAACCUUACCUGGGCUUGACAUGCUGGUGAAAGCCGGUGGAAACACCGGCCCCUCUUCGGAGCGCCAGCACAGGUGCUGCAUGGCUGUCGUCAGCUCGUGUCGUGAGAUGUUGGGUUAAGUCCCGCAACGAGCGCAACCCUCGCUCCCAGUUGCCAGCGGUUCGGCCGGGGACUCUGGGGGGACUGCCGGCGUUAAGCCGGAGGAAGGUGGGGACGACGUCAAGUCAUCACGGCCCUUACGUCCAGGGCGACACACGUGCUACAAUGCCCGGUACAGCGCGUCGCGAACUCGCGAGAGGGAGCCAAUCGCUAAAAGCCGGGCUAAGUUCGGAUUGCAGUCUGCAACUCGACUGCAUGAAGCCGGAAUCGCUAGUAAUCGCGGAUCAGCCACGCCGCGGUGAAUCCGUUCCCGGGCCUUGUA
rnacentral:rRNA from 2 species